rnacentral:rRNA from 1 species
AUAGAGACUCAGAGCUGCAUAUCAAUAAGCGGAGGAAAAGAAACUAACAAGGAUUCCCUUAGUAACGGCGAGUGAAGCGGGAAGAGCUCAAAUUUGAAAUCUUCAAGGUUCUACCUUGACGAAUUGUAGUUUAAAGAAGUGUUUUCUGUUAGAUGAGUAGCAAAAGUUCCUUGGAAUAGGACAUCAUAGAGGGUGAGAAUCCCGUAUUUGGUUAUUCAUUCUAGCUUUGUGAUACACUUUCAAAGAGUCGGAUUGUUUGGGAAUGCAGUCCAAAAUGGGUGGUAAAUUUCAUCUAAAGCUAAAUAUUGGCGAGAGACCGAUAGCGAACAAGUACCGUGAGGGAAAGAUGAAAAGAACUUUGAAGAGAGAGUUAAACAGUACGUGAAAUUGUCAAAAGGGAAGCGUUUGACACCAGUGUUGUUUUUCCGAAAAUCAAUUACGAAUGUUUUGUUUUUGAGGAGUUAUGACUUCAUCGGCUUGCUCCUUUCUUUACGAAACUUUCUUAAUGCACUUUUCGGUUAACAAGUCAACAUCAAUUUCUUUUGUUGUAAAAGGGUAUGAGGAAGGUGGCUUUCUUUUCGGAGAAAGUGUUUAUAGCCUUGUGCCUCUGCAAUCGGAGAGAUUGAGGUCUGCAGCGUAGAUCCUUCGGGGUUAGAUACGUUUGUGCUAAGUUAUAGCUUUUCAUAGACAACUUGUUGACUAUGUUUAGUCUUGUAGCUUACUCGCUGACGCUAUUUUACCUACGCUUAGGAUGUUGACGAUCAGCUGAGCGCG